GUACUCACUUCGGCAGCACAUAUACUAAAACUGGAACAAUACAGAGAAGAUUGGCAUGGCCCCUGUGCAAGGAUGACAUGAAAAUUUGUGAAGCGUUCCAUAUUUUU
rnacentral:snRNA from 1 species